AUGGCUGACAGUGCUGCUGCUUGGACUGCAUUCUCUGUCUUCAGCUCCUCCCCUGACUGUCACUCUGGUCCCAAGUCAAGGAUAUCAUGUAACAAUACAAAUAAACUGUUGAUGACUUCAACAAACCAUGUCUUUGUUGAUGAAAGUAAUCAAAUGACAUGUAGCUGUCUUACUUUCCCUCUGUUCUCUGUCUUCAGCUCCUCCACCUGGCUCUCACUGGCUGUCCAUCUGCCAUCUAGUGCUAAAAUGUCAUGUAAAGAAAAUGCAAAUGAAGUGUUGAUGAAACAAACAGCUUCUUUCUACAUCAAAGUAAUAAGGCCAGAGGUAACUUCUGGGUGUGUGGAAGUCCAGUUCAGUCUUAGUGACUCAUCUCCACUCUCUGGUUCACCACCUUUCUGCAGCUCCUCCACCUCUCCUUUCAGCUCCUCCACCUCUCCUUUCAGCUCCUCCACCUCUCCUUUCAGCUCCUCCACCUCUCCUUUCAGCUCCUCCACCUGGCUCUCACUGGCACUGAGUCUGGCCUCCAAACCUGCAAUAACAUGAGAGGCUUUUUAAUCCCUACUGAAUUAAACAUGUGCAAACAUUAAAUCCACUGCAAACAUACACUGAAAUUCAAAUUAAUAUCACCUGUUUUCUCACUCUUCAGCCCCUCCACCUCUCUCUCACUAGCUGUCACUCUGGCUCCCAUGGUUGACAGUUCUGCUGCUUGGACCGGAAUUCUAAGAAAAAUGUGUAGAGAUUUUGAUGGGAUACAAAUCCAUUUAUAUGAACUAGAUCCUUUUCAGUACUGCAAAUAAUGCAUUACCUGUAUUUUCACUCUCCAGUGAUCCUCCACCUGGCUCUCAUUAGCUGUCACUCUGGCCGCCAUGUUUCCCAGCUCCACUCUGUUUCACCACCAUGUCUCUCAGCCGCUUCAGCUGUCCGGAUGACAGGGCUAGACCCAGGUUGCUGCUAAGCACCACAUGCAGGUAGAGGUAGAAACAUAAUGAGUGAGCAUGAUGGGAUGAAGAGUUGAAUUACUAAACGCUAUAUAUCCAUUUAAGGAAAUGUUGGUAAAUAAGCUUUUAUUGUUUAAAGAAAUUAAACACGUACCAUCACACGGGUGUGAUCGUUCUACAGUGGUCCCUGAAGCGUACGAUCACACCCGUGUGUUUAGAACACUCAUUUAGAAUGCUCGUUUAGAACGGCAGUUUCGAAUGACUCAACAAUCAGCGUUUGAGCUGGCCACACUUUUUUCAGAAACUAUUUACACAAACACAGUCCUUACAAAGUUAUGUCCAGAAUGUCAGCAGUUUAUUUUUGGAUGCAUUGUUCAGAUAUUCACAGAAGUAAAUAUAGCAUAACACAAUCAUC
ensembl:lncRNA